AUGAAGCCACGCGUGACGUCAUCACGCACUUACGCACGCACUAGCCGCCAGGAGACGCUGUUCAGUUUACGGGUCCUGACGCCCGCUAGCCCACCAGGCCAGCAGGGGAGCUGGAGACCGGCAGCCUGGACAAACGACCGGAAGGAGGAAAAGGAACCGGAGGGAGGAAAAAGAAGAGGGGCGGGACAAGGCCAUCAGGCAGGAGUUUUAAGCUCAGAGCUGCGACACCAGCAGGCCCGGCACAUCCUGCCCACGCGGCGCAGUGCUGCAGCUUCCCUCUGGUCACGGGUCUGGCCGUCGGCUCGCCAAUUCCUCCAGCUUCCAUGGGACUCUCCGGGUGUUAGCACUGCAAGUUCCUCAGCAAACUGGGACUGUCGGUCGCCUACCUGGCAGCCAGUGAUAAGCACUUUAAAGAUGUCUAAUUCCACUGUCUACCUGCUUGCAUUACUUCUGAUGAGAAGCCAGCCACCUUGUGCAUCAUUAUUCCUGUGUCCACUGUCACUUCAAGCUGGACAGUCACUAAUGUGUUUCCUUCCAUCACUGACUGUUGGAAGUCCAUUGAUACCACAUCUCCUCCCAGCCCCAGCAGCUACCAACCAGCCCGUGGCAGUGUCUUGCUGGAGUCUCAGUGCGUAA
rnacentral:lncRNA from 13 species